rnacentral:rRNA from 1 species
AUUUAAAUUAUUAAUUCAAAAUUUCCCCUGCCCCAUGAAUUUAUUUAUAUUUUAAUGGCCGCAGUACUUUGACUGUGCUAAGGUAGCAUAAUAAAUUGGCUUUUAAUUGAAGUCGAGAAUGAACGGGAUUUUAAUCAGAAGCUGUCUCAUAUACAGAUUUAUAGAAAUUACUUAUUAGGUGAAAAUUCCUAAAAUUAUAUUUAAUAGACGAGAAGACCCUUAGAGUUUUUAUUAAUAAAGUAAUUUAAUUAAGAUAUUUAGGAGUUUUUUCUUCUUGAAUACUGACUUUUAAAUUUUUGUUGGGGCAACAAGUAAACAAAAAUAAAACUUCACCAUAUAGAUAUUUAAAGUUAAAUAUAUUUGAGUAUAAGACAAAAAUAAUUUUCUGAGUAAAUAAGACUACCUAAGGGAUAACAGCAUAAUUUAAUAUGUAAGAUUAUGACCUCGAUGUUGGAUUAGGGCCUAGCUAGGUUAACCACUUAGAAAGAAGUGUUCUGUUCGAACAACUGUUCUCCUACAUGAU